CCUACGGGAGUCAGCAGUGAGGAAUAUUGGUCAAUGGACGAGAGUCUGAACCAGCCAAGUAGCGUGAAGGAUGACUGCCCUAUGGGUUGUAAACUUCUUUUAUAUGGGAAUAAAAUGUUCCACGUGUGGGAUUUUGUAUGUACCAUAUGAAUAAGGAUCGGCUAACUCCGUGCCAGCAGCCGCGGUAAUACGGAGGAUCCGAACGUUAUCCGGAUUUAUUGGGUUUAAAGGGAGCGUAGGUGGAUUGUUAAGUCAGUUGUGAAAGUUUGCGGCUCAACCGUAAAAUUGCAGUUGAAACUGGCAGUCUUGAGUACAGUAGAGGUGGGCGGAAUUCGUGGUGUAGCGGUGAAAUGCUUAGAUAUCACGAAGAACUCCGAUUGCGAAGGCAGUUCACUGGACUGCAACUGACACUGAGGCUCGAAAGUGUGGGUAUCAAACAGGAUUAGAUACCCUUGUAGUC
rnacentral:rRNA from 1 species